GCGAAAAGAACCCCGGCGAGGGGAGUGAAAAAGAACCUGAAACCGUGUACGUACAAGCAGUGGGAGCCCCACCACCAAAGCAUUCUCUGGUGUUGAAGGCCCUGCAAAGCAGCAUCGCGGUGGCGGAGCGUCGUUUGCGACGCCCAACACACAAAACAAGCGGUGAGUGCUUUGGGGUGGGGUGACUGCGUACCUUUUGUAUAAUGGGUCAGCGACUUAUAUUCUGUAGCAAGGUUAACCGAAUAGGGGAGCCGGAGGGAAACCGAGUCUUAAUUGGGCGUUAAGUUGCAGGGUAUAGACCCGAAACCCGGUGAUCUAGCCAUGGGCAGGUUGAAGGUUGGGUAACACUAACUGGAGGACCGAACCGACUAAUGUUGAAAAAUUAGCGGAUGACCUGUGGCUGGGGGUGAAAGGCCAAUCAAACCGGGAGAUAGCUGGUUCUCCCCGAAAGCUAUUUAGGUAGCGCCUCGUGAAUUCAUCUCCGGGGGUAGAGCACUGUUUCGGCUAGGGGGCCAUCCCGGCUUACCAACCCGAUGCAAACUGCGAAUACCGGAGAAUGUUAUCACGGGAGACACACGGCGGGUGCUAACGUCCGUCGUGAAGAGGGAAACAACCCAGACCGCCAGCUAAGGUCCCAAAGUCAUGGUUAAGUGGGAAACGAUGUGGGAAGGCCCAGACAGCCAGGAUGUUGGCUUAGAAGCAGCCAUCAUUUAAAGAAAGCGUAAUAGCUCACUGGUCGAGUCGGCCUGCGCGGAAGAUGUAACGGGGCUAAACCAUGCACCGAAGCUGCGGCAGCGACGCUUAUGCGUUGUUGGGUAGGGGAGCGUUCUGUA
rnacentral:rRNA from 1 species